rnacentral:lncRNA from 1 species
GAACCAAGUGGGCAAAGCAUAGGUGAAGGCAGAUUUGUGGCAAAUGUCUUUAUCGUUAAUUGUUUAGUUACUUAUUAUUAGAACUAUUGAAAUAAAACCGCGCAAAGAUAAGACAAAUCAGGUAAUAAAAAGAAUAAACUUAGCACAAGCAGGUUAUUUUAUUGAGUACGUGUUUUUGCAUUUCUUUUUUUUUUUCUUUUUUUAACUGAAGCUUUCUACUCGAAUUUUUUUAAUAGAAGUUACAAUGUUGCUAUGUACCUAAACGAAUUCUUCUUCGGAAAGCUUAUUAGAGCCUUUGAAAAUCAAGAUAGCACAUUAAAUUUAUCAUUAGUGAAGUGGGAGGCACAUCCAAAAAAAUAAAAAUGAUAUGUUAGAGAGGGAGGAUAAAAGUACAAGUGAUAACUAUCUAUAACCCAAAUAUAUAUAUAUAUUACGUAUAAGUACUUUUUUAAAAUCAAAGUUGUAUUGUCGUUACAGAUAUACAAAACCAGCCGAGUACAACUAAUAAAAAAGAAUUAUAAAAUAAACUUGUCAAAAGAAAAGAUUUACAAUUUGAAGGCUAUCUUACAGAACAAUUUGCAGUGAUCUCCCGAGUUAAUUUCCUUUACCGACCUCUUUGCUAUAUAUGUAACUUCUCUAUUAAGUAAAAAAAAUAAAAUAUUGGAAGUGAAAUUGCCAGGUUUAAUUAUACCAAAAUACAGAAAAGAAUAAGAAACAAAAGAAUUAUUGAACUACAUUCUCAGAUAUAUCCAAUUCAAUUGGAUUACAAAAAGAAUCCAAAUAAUUAGAACUAUGAAAAUAAAUAAAUUUAAUUAUAGAAUAAACGGUUAAGAAUAUGAAAAGAACCAACCCGUGUUAUAAAACAACUACAAAUAAUAUAUUAUAUAUCAACAUAAAUUGUACUAAUAAAUACUAAACAAUUAUAGGGGAAGGCUAAAAGAAAGAAACAAUAGUUCACAGGAUCAUGUAAAGAAUAUGCGGAGCAAGAAUCACAUUUUUGGGACCUGAUCAAACAAUCAAAAGGACCGGCAAAUUAAAUAGAAACUUUAGUCAGAUAUAUGGAAGAUCACAAAUAAAAUAAUAAACAGAAACGAAAAAAAUACAUUUUAACGGAUAUCAAAUUACCCUCUCAUGGUCAAAUUAACCUUUCAUAGUCUAUAGUAAAGCAAGCUUAUUCAUAGCUUAUUAUGUUACAACUCAAAUGCACUCUUUCACUCACACGUGUAGCUCAUUCAUGCAUGUGAAGAAGCUACUUACUCUAACAAACCCUUUACUCAUAAAAUGUGCAAGUAAGAAUUUGAAUAACGACACAAUGAAGUGAAUAAUUACCAAUAUAAUCUAAUACAAAGUGAUUUAUCAAGCUUCUAAAUUAUCGGUUGAAAAGCACCCGUAAAGAGCUGAAAAAGGAGGGGGCAAGAUUGGUCCCGGAGACUGGCAGAUGCGUUGGCUGUUGAAGAAGCCCACAAUAUUCUUAUAGCCUUAAUUUUAUGAUUUUCAUUGCAUAGGUUGAUCACUGAAUUAAUGAUAGACUUACGGGCUUCCUAAACGGAAAAGAGAAAGAAGAGUAAUGGAAGAAGGUGUAAUUAAGAAGUAAUUUUUGGAUACUUUAAUGUAGCACAUAAAUAGAAAAAAUAUCAAAAAUUUAAGAAUAACGAUAAAUAUGAUUCUUGACUAAAAAGAUAUGCCACAUUACUUUUUCUGUUAAAAACUUAAUUCACUAAGUGUCCAAGUCUAGAAAAUCACAAGAAAACACACACACACAUAUAUAUACAUAUAUAUAUAUAUAUAUAAGAAGAACAAAUGAGAGCUAAUAUAUUGUUUGCUCGAUACUUUUGGAAACCUGAAAGUAGCAUCUGAAAGUUUAUGUAGCGUCCGAUUAUGCUCUACUCACAACACAAAUGAUAGUCCCAUCAGGUUGUAAUAAAAGUAGCUUUAUGAUUUUAACAUCUUAUUAUAUAAAAGUAUUUGACGGAUAUAUGAGAAUCAUUCCGUCUUAAAUAUAUAAAAUAACUCAUUUAAGUUAAUUAACAUAUCUUAAUUUGAAUAAGAGAAGAUAUAUUAAACUGAUAGCUGUUUCACUGACAAAAUAGUUCAUAGAAGUACAAUCUUACCUAAUCAAAAAAAUCAAGAUACAUCUCAUUGAUUUAUCCAACUUUCUAUCAAAUUGUAUAUUAAGAAUCAUAUCGUUAUUAAACAACAUGAGAAUAUAACGUAAUAAAAAUAAAAUAAAAACUUAAUUACCUUUGGUUAGCUGGUACUGUGGUACAUGAACUUCCAAUGAAUGUUUGGAUAAAUAGCUUCAGUAUUGCACCUAUGCCUUAAAUUAUCUGAUGCAAUAAUAAAAAGACCAAUAAUAAGAUAUUAUCGGAUAUGUACCGUGGAGUUCAUGAAUUAUAAAGACACAUAUUGAAAACUGUUGCUAAGCAAUGAAGCAUAUUGAACCUUUUUUAGGUAAUAAACGUAAACUGGUGGGCACAACAGAAAUUUAUAAACUUCUCUCCAGUAAUGUAAGCGGCUAGGUCUGAAACAAAACAAAUGGACAAAAAUAUGCAAAAGAAAUAAAAAUGAAAAGAAACAAAUUAAUUGAAUACAGUCAAAUCAUAACAAAAACAAUUGAGAAUGAAUCUGAUUAUGUGUGCAUAAAUUUAAAGGGAGAAGGUAGAGCAUAUUUCUUUUUUGUGAGAUGUAAGAAUUAAGAGGUGUGUUAUAAAUGUGCUAGGACCUCUUCAUGUCCUAUUCACGACUUCACAUUAAUUGAUAAGUAAUUAUAGACGGAGGAAGAGGUGGACAACAGUUACAAAUAAUUAUUGUUGGAAGUCAUUUAAAGACGUGAUUAAAUGGAGAGAGUGAAUCAAUAUAUUUAAAGACAUUUUGGUACUAUUUUAUAGUUAGAAAAAGACUUUGUUUUUGCAAAAAAUAAGGAAAAAAUUCAAAAUUAUGAGAAAAAUGAUAAAUUGCCAUACUGGUUAGAGAGGCAUGCCACAUCACCUUUUACAUUCCCAACUUUAUAUUUAUAUGUAGAUAUAGAUAAUAUGGGUUUGGAUAUUUUUGUAAUAAAUACUGAAAAUUCUGACUCGAAUUAAUUUAGAACUAAGACAGAGUUAAUGAAAUUUAUACCCUUUUAUGUUUUCUCUUUUAAGUUGCUUGACUAUUGUUUGUUCAUCUAACAUAGUGUAAUUGCUAAACCAACUGUGACCCGGAAAUUUUGUUUCAGUAGAAAGGGGAGGAGACAAAACAGGAAAAAGCAAAGGAAUUAAUAGAGCCACAAGUUUUUUCUCAAUUGAACGAUAAAAAUGACGAAAGAAUCGUUUGCUGACAUGGAAAAAAUUGAAAGGGGUCAGCUGCCACGGUGCAAAUCCGUUAAGGUUAAGGGCAAUUCCAUCAAGUUUGGUAAUUGUAGGGUGUGUUUUGGACGUAAAGUGAGACAGAGGACAAACGUAUACUAUUUACAAUAGUACAGGGGUAAGAAUGACCUUUUUCUCAUUAUUAUAGUGUCCCAAGUCACCGAUUUAUUUUAAAAUUCCAAAUCGAGAAAAUUAACUCUAUAUAUGGUCCGCGAACACAGAAGACCGGGUAAGAAAUUUUGUUAACCCAGGAGAGGUGUGAGGCGCUCCUUCCGUGAUUUUAGCACGGUCCCUCAACUAUUAAUAAUUGGCAUAAUUAUUUGAAUUUUAUAAUGCUUUUACUUUUUAGCCAUUUAUGGAAUUUAUUUGAACAAGUCGCGAUGUCGCGCACUCGUUGUUUACUACAUAUUGCAAAUCACGCCACCUGAAACGUACCCGUAAUUUACAACAUGUUUAUUUUUAUUAUUAUUUGAAGUUGUAAGGUCAAGUCACGCAAGCGUGCACUAGAAUUUGAGACUAAAUGUAUCAUAACUAUGUCACGGGAAUUGUACCCAUAGUCGCGAUGAUUUAUUACUAAUCUUGUCUAAAGCAAGUGUCACGGCCCAAUUUCAUUAUAGGCCGUGAUAGCGCUCAACUCCGUUGUUAGGCAAGCCAAUACCGAUCAAUUAGUGGUUUCUCGUUUAAAUAAAUUAUUAAGUAGUAGCAUUACCUUAUUUGUUAAAAAGAUUUAGAGAUUAGCAGGUGUGAAAUAAAUCAGCGGAAACAACAAGUACAAAUCAGGAUUAUGUAAGAAAAUCCAAGAUCAUAAGUCUACUAGGGAAUCUGCCAAGACCUACUGUCACAAGUGUGUGGGCAAUCUAGUAGAAUAUACAAAAGAAUACUGCUAGUCUACUAUCUGAGAGGAAAUAGACAAGAAAGUAAAACAUAAGAAAGACUCCAACUGCUGCAGAACGGCUCGGAAGGCAGCUCACUAUGAAGUCUCAAAGUAGGGAAACUACGCACGCCGAAUAGGUAUCUAGAUGCCUCAGAUCCUGUACAAUUAAGUACAGAAGCGUAGUAUAAGUACAUAAACAACAUGUACCCAGUAAGUAUCCAGUCUAACCUCGAAGAAGUAGUGACGAGGGGUCGACUUUGACAUUUAUUAUGGGCAAAAAAGAUGAUAUAAUCAAAAUAUUAUACUAGGCAUGGAUUUCAUGAAUAACACUAAAAGCUCAAUAACAUGAAGUGAUGAAUUCUUCUUUCACAAAUAUAAAUUUCAAAUUUAGUUAUAUUAUUUAUCAGCUUACAUUUCAAGAUAUUUAAGCAACUUCAGUCACGGAGAGUUCCAAAAAAAUUUCAUGCGCAAAUUAUGCCAAGGUCGCACAACCCGUUCAUAUAUAUAUAUUGUGCACUGCCAGAGGGUCGAAUGACGCGAACCAUAGAUGCAUCUAUUUACUACCGAGGCGCUCGGCCCGAUCCACAAAUAACAAUUAUUUUUAAGAAAAUACAAUUUCUCAUUUACAGUCAAGUAUCUCAUACAAACCUUCAAGUAAAUGAAUUCAACCUUAUACAAUUCUUUUUAUCAAUUUCUAAUAUGACUUAAGUGACUAUUUUAGCAAGUAAGGAUGCAAAUAUUUCAAAUGUGGCAUGAUACGAGUCCUAAACUACCCGGACAAUAGCAUAAUAGUAGCUACGUACGGACUCUCGUCACCUCGUAUGUACAUAACUUCCACAAAUAGAUACAAAUAUUUAUUUAAUUCACAUAUGGGGUUAAUUCCCUUUUACAAGGUUAGAAAAGAGGCUUACCUCGUCUCAAAGCCUCCGUCUCAAUUCAAGAAUACGCUCAAACCUCUAAAUUCUAUACCAAAUGACUCGAAACUAGUCAAACAUUACAUAAACUAAUCAAUUUAUGCUCAAAAGAUCAUAUUUCCACUGUUGAAGUGAUUACACAACCCAAAUUGUAAGAUUCCUAAAAUUCACCCCGAGUCCUUAUGCUCGGAUUCCGAAAAUUUUCGAAGAAAGUUGUUGUUACCCAUAGCCUUAGAAACAUAAAUAUAUAAUUUUAACUAAGUUCCAUAAGCAAUUUCGUGGUCAAAUCUCAUUUUUAUCAACAUGUAUUUAACUCAUGUUGUGUAGAAAGUACUUACCUCAAAGUGCUAGGUGAAAACCCUCUUCCAAAAGCUCCAAAAAUUGCCUAAGAGAUAAAGUGAAAUGAAAUAAAUGGCCUAAGUCCCGCAUUAAUGACCUAGAUUCGCAAAUGCGAGGGCCGCAAAUGCGACAGAAGCCUCGCAAAUGCGGAGCCUGGGCUUCAGCUACUGGGGCAGCAAACACGACCAAAGAGUCGCAAAUGCGACUUCUGCUGGGAUCGCAAACGCGGCAUAAUUGUCGCAAAUGCGAACACUGCUUGGGUCGGGCUCCUUCGCAAUUGCGAAGCUCUUAUCGCAAAUGCAAUGUUCGCAUUUGGGAACAAUCUCUCGCAAUUGCGAGACAUGCAGUUGUUGCCAAGAACACUAGAAAUCUGGUGUGUUUUCAACUCCUUCCACACGUCCAAAACUCACUCGAGCCCUUAAGGCUCCACACCAAGUACUCAUACAAGUCUAACAACAUCAUACAAACUUGUUUGCGCAAUCGGAACGCCAAAAUAACGUCAAAAACCACGAAUUGGAUGCAGAAACACAUGAAUUUACUCAUGAACUCCAAAACUUCUAAAACACUCCCGCACGUCUGAUUCCUGUAAAAUCAACUCGGAAUGACGUCAAACUUUGCGGGCAAGUCUAAAAUGACAUUACGGACCUACUCUGUACCGACCCGACUAGUCGUUUUAUAAGUUACAGUUCUGUUUUCCCCAUUUUUGCUUCUUUAUAUGUUGUUCAACUGUAUUUCAUUAUAUCGUGUUGGUUGGUUUGGGUUCAGAGUGGUCGCGGAGUGGAAUGAGACACUUAGUCUCUUAUUUAGAAGCUUAAGUUAGAAAAGUCAACUGGAUGUUGACAUAUGUGUAAAAGGUCUUGGAUGUGAAUUCUGAUGGUUCGGAUAGCUUCAUGAGGCGAUUCUGGACUUAGGAGCGUGUUCAAAAUGUAUUUUGGAGGUCCGUGAUAGAUUUAGGCUUGAAUUGGAGAAAUUGGAAAUUUGGCAUAUUCCGGUCGACAGGGGAAAUUUUGAUAUCAGGGUCAGAAUGGAAUUCCGGAUAUUGGAAUAGGUCCAUUGUGUCAUUUUAUGAUGUGCGUGCAAAAUUUUAGGUUAUUCAGAUAAGAUUUGAUAGGUUUUUGUAUCGUUUGCCGAAUUCGAAAGUUUGGAAAUCCUUAGGCUUGAAUCCGAAGGUGAUUUGGUGUUUUGAUGUUGUUUUGAGUGUUCUAAAGGUUUGAAUAAGUUUGAAUAGUGGUAUAUGACUUGUUGGUAGGUUUGGUUGAGGUCCGGAGGGCCUGGGGAUGAUUUCGAAGGGUUAUCGGAGAGUUGGAAAAUUGGAGUUACAGCUGAAGCUGUUGUUUUCUGUCAUAAUCACACCUGCGGAUUGGGAACCGCAGGUGCGAGCCCCAAAAGCGGAAGGGAGACCGCAGAAGUGGCAUUGGUCGUAGGAGCGGAGGUCUGGAUCGCAUUUGCGAGCCCGCAGGUGCGAGACCUAGGGUGCAGGUGCGGCAUCUAAGGACUUAAGUGAUUUUCGCAAGUGCGGAUUUUUGGGCGCAGAAGCGGCCCACAUGUGCGAGAUAUUGUCCGCAUAUGCAAAAAAUGCUGGGCAGAAAGUAUAAAAUGUCCCCUUUGCGAAUUUCUGUCAUUUCUUCACCAUUUUUGGACGAGUUAGAGCUUGGGGACUGUGAUUUCUAGAGGGAAUUUAGUGCUUUCGGUGAGGUAAGCUACUUGGACCUUGUAUCGUGUGUUUAUGGCGAUUAUUCAAUUGUUUAAUCAUGAUAUUAGUGGGAAAAUUUGAAAAGAAAUUGGGAGAUUAGGGCUUGAAUUGGAGAGUUUAAAUUGGAGAUUUGAGGGGCCAUUUGAGAUCCGAUUUUGAUGGUUUUGGUAUGUAUAAACUCCGGAGUGAGAGGAGUUUCUAGUUUUGCGAUUUUUAUUGGAUUUCGAGAUGUGGGCCUAGGUCCGGGUUUGAGUAAAUUUGGGAUUUUGAGUCUAAUUUGAUAAUUUUUGUGUGGGUUUUGUUCCCUUGGCAUUAUUGAUGACAUGAUUCUGAUUUUGGAUAGAUUCGGGGCGAUUUGAGGCCGAGUUGAGAGGCAAGAGCAUUGCGGAGUAGAUCUUCGUCUGGUUCGAGGUAAGUAACGAUUGUAAAUCUAGAUAUGAGGGUAUGAAACCCUGGAAUUUCGUAUUAUUUUUGAUAAAUGAGGUAACACACAUGCUAGGUGAUGGGCGUGUAGGCGUGUGGGCGUGCACCGUUAGGGAUUGUGACUUGGUCUGUGUCGUGGCAACUGUAGAGUUGUAUAUUUUGAUAAACUCUAUAUGAAAUCUAUGUGUUUAGAAAUAAUUCUAUUAACUUGGGCUAAAUUCCAUGCUUGGACCCUCAGGGGUAUUUUACUAUUAUCCUCACAUUGUCUUGAUAAAAAGCAUUAUCCUCAGUCAUGGUUUAUACCUGUUUACUGUUUAAUAUGGUUCAUCACUCUAUUUUAAUAUAUGAAAGUGUUUUGGGCUGAGUUCCCUAAUUUUAUUUUCAUUGAAAUGCCCGAGUGGCUGUGAGGUUGAUGACUGAGAGAGGCCGAGGGCCUAAUGGAGAGGAUUAUAUAUUUAUGGAUCGGGCUGCACGCCGUAUAUAUNNNNNNNNNNNNNNNNNNNNNNNNNNNNNNNNNNNNNNNNNNNNNNNNNNNNNNNNNNNNNNNNNNNNNNNNNNNNNNNNNNNNNNNNNNNNNNNNNNNNNNNNNNNNNNNNNNNNNNNNNNNNNNNNNNNNNNNNNNNNNNNNNNNNNNNNNNNNNNNNNNNNNNNNNNNNNNNNNNNNNNNNNNNNNNNNNNNNNNNNNNNNNNNNNNNNNNNNNNNNNNNNNNNNNNNNNNNNNNNNNNNNNNNNNNNNNNNNNNNNNNNNNNNNNNNNNNNNNNNNNNNNNNNNNNNNNNNNNNNNNNNNNNNNNNNNNNNNNNNNNNNNNNNNNNNNNNNNNNNNNNNNNNNNNNNNNNNNNNNNNNNNNNNNNNNNNNNNNNNNNNNNNNNNNNNNNNNNNNNNNNNNNNNNNNNNNNNNNNNNNNNNNNNNNNNNNNNNNNNNNNNNNNNNNNNNNNNNNNNNNNNNNNNNNNNNNNNNNNNNNNNNNNNNNNNNNNNNNNNNNNNNNNNNNNNNNNNNNNNNNNNNNNNNNNNNNNNNNNNNNNNNNNNNNNNNNNNNNNNNNNNNNNNNNNNNNNNNNNNNNNNNNNNNNNNNNNNNNNNNNNNNNNNNNNNNNNNNNNNNNNNNNNNNNNNNNNNNNNNNNNNNNNNNNNNNNNNNNNNNNNNNNNNNNNNNNNNNNNNNNNNNNNNNNNNNNNNNNNNNNNNNNNNNNNNNNNNNNNNNNNNNNNNNNNNNNNNNNNNNNNNNNNNNNNNNNNNNNNNNNNNNNNNNNNNNNNNNNNNNNNNNNNNNNNNNNNNNNNNNNNNNNNNNNNNNNNNNNNNNNNNNNNNNNNNNNNNNNNNNNNNNNNNNNNNNNNNNNNNNNNNNNNNNNNNNNNNNNNNNNNNNNNNNNNNNNNNNNNNNNNNNNNNNNNNNNNNNNNNGGCUUGUUUUAUGAGAUUACUGUUUCCUCUUCUUUUAUACUGAGCCUCUAUUGAAAAUGUUGAACAAAUGUUUUAAACAACUUUCAUUGAAAUUGGAGUUUUUACGAGAUGUUCAGAAUUGAGUUACUAAUUUGACUGUUAUUUCCACUGAGAUUUUUAUGUUAUGUGAUGUAUAUGAUUUUAAAUGCUUGUCUUUGCACUCAGCCUUUAUUUGUAAUUGUUACUUACUGAGUUGGCGUACUCACGUUACUCCCUGCACCUUGUGUGCAUAUCUAGGUGUCAGGGCAUCUGAGUGAGAGUUGUUCCUUCCUUCAGAGCAUUUUCGGAGUUAGCAAGGUAGCUGCACGGUGUCCGCAGCCUUGCCUUUUUCCUUCCUAUCUUUUAGUAUUUGUUUUUAUCAGAUUUAUCUUGUAUUGAGUAGACAGUACCAUAUUGUAUUUUAGUGGCUCAUGACUAGUGACACCGGGAUCGAAAUGUUCUAAACGGAAGAUUGCUUUAAUAUUUGAUUAGUAAAUGAAUUGAGAGAAAUACCGGUUUUGCUAUAAAUGUCGAAUCGGCUAGCCUAGUACUACGAUAGGCAUCAUUCCAGCCGGGGUGGUUUGGGGUCGUGACAACUUUCGAAACAGAAAUCCGAACCCGAUAUCAAAAAGUCCACCCUCGGUCAAACUUUCCAAAAACUUCAAGUUCUAACUUUGGCCAAAUGACUCCAAAACGACCUACAGACCUCUGAAUCUACUACCGGACGUGCUCCUAAGUUCAGAAUCACUAUACGGAGCUAUUCCCAGGCUCGGAAUCCCAAACGGACUCCUAGAAUAUAAAAAUCCAUUUUGACCCAAACUUAUGGAAUUUGCUCAAAUUACAACUUUCACUAUUAGGCGCCAAAAUGCCCUCGGGUCAUGCGAAACCUUAUCCGAACAUACACCCAAGUCUGAAAUCAUCAUGUAAACCUAUUGGAACUGUCAAAUUCUGAUUCCAAGGUCAUUUACUCUAAAUGUUGACCAAAGUCAAAUUGAAUUCUUCCAAAUCUCGAACCAACUAUCCCCGCAAGUCAUAAAUCAGUAAGGGAAGUCUCAUUUAGGGGAACUAGGUUCUAGAAAGAAAAAUGACCGGUCUGGUCGUUAUAUUCUCCACCUCUUAAACUAAUGUGCAUCCUCGAACGAGUUUAGAUUCAUACCUAAAGUGCUGAAUAAGUGUGGAUAUCUGCUCUGCAUGUCCUCCUCGGACUCCUAGGUCGUCUCCUCGACUAGUUGGCACCUCCACUGAACUUUUGCCGUGGAAAUCCUCUUGGAUCUCAACUGGCGAUCAUGUCUAGCAACAAUGGCAACUGGCUCCUCCUCAUAACCCAAACUCUCAUCUAGUUGGAUAGUGUUGAAGUCUAACACAUGUGACAAUUCGGUGUGAUACCUCCGGAGCAUAGACACGUGAAAACCGGAUGAACCCCGAAUAGGAUGGGAGGUAAAGAAAGCUCAUAAAUGACCUCUCCAACUCGCCUCAACGCCUCAAAUGGGCUUACGAACCUAGGGCAUUCUUCCCAAAUCUCAUAAUACCCUUCAUCGACGAGACUUCCAAGAGAACCUUGUCGCCGACCAUAAACGAUACAUCAUAUGCCUUCUGAUCCACAUAACCCUUUUGUCUAGAUUGUGCUAUGCGGAGUCACUCGUGAAUCAAUUUUAACUUUUCCAAGGCAUCCUUCACCAAAUCAGUACCAUAUAACUUGGCCUCAGCGGGCUCAAACCACCUAAUGGGAGAAUGGCAUAGCCAACCAUACAAAGCCUCAAAUGGAGCCAUCUCGAUGCUGGAUUGAUAACUCUUAUUGUAAGCAAACUCGGCGAAAGGAAAGAAUUGAGCCAAUGUUCCCCAAAGUCAAUCACACAUGCUCUAAGCAUGUCCUCUAAUAUCUAAAUUAUCCACUCUGACUGCCCGUCGAUCUGUGGAUGGAAUGAUAUGCUGAGCUCUACACGGGUCCCAACUCGCUCUGUAUGGCUCUCUAGAAAUGUAAAGUGAACUGAGGGCCUCUAUCUCAUAUGAUGGAAACAGGCACACCGUGCAACCGAACUAUCUCCCGAAUAUAAAUCUGGGACAAUUUCUCUAAAGUAUAUGUAGUCACAACUGGAAUGAAGUGUGCCGAAUUAGUCAACCUGUCGAAAUGACCCAAACUGCAUCAAACUUCUGCAAGGUCCGCGGCAACCCAACUACGAAGUCCAUAGUGAUGUGCUCCCAUUUCCACUCAGGUAUAGUCAUCUGCUGAAGUAGGCCACCUGGCCUCUGGUGCUUAUACUUGACUUGCUCCCAAUUUAGGCACUUAGCCACAAAUUCAACUAUGUCUUUCCUCAUCCGCCGCCACCAAUAAUGUUGUCUCAAGUCACGAUAGAUCUUUGUAGCACCUGGAUGAACGGAAUAUCGAGAAUUAUGUGCCUCCUCUAGAAUCCUCUCUCUCAAGCCAUCAACAUUAGGAACACAUAGACGAACCUAGAAUCGCAAAACACCAUCAUCGCCAAUAGCAACCUCCUUGGCACCACCCUGAAGUACUGUCUCUCUAAGGACUACCAAGAACUAUCCGGUUCAUGAUUUGGAGUUAGCAGCCAUUGUUCACGCGUUGAAGAUUUGGAAGCAUUAUCUAUAUGGCGUGCCAUGUGAGGUGUUCACGGAUCAUAAGAGUCUUCAGUAUUUGUUCAAGCAUAACAGGCUAAAUUUGAGGCAGAGAAGGUGGUUGGAGUUAUUAAAGGACUAUGAUAUCACCAUCUUAUAUCAUUUGUGAAAGGCCAAUGUGGUGGCCGAUUCUUUAAGUAGGAAGUCAGCCAGUAUGGGCAAUCUUGCUUAUAUUCCGGUCAGUGAGAGACUGGUUGCUUUGGAUGUUCAGGCUUUGGCCAAUCAGUUCGUGAGGUUGGAUAUUUUUGAGCCCAGCCGUGUGUUAGCUUACACAGUCGCUCAUUCUUCAUUAUUGGAGUGUAUCCAAGAUCAAUAGAAUGAUGAUCCUCAAUUGUGUGUCCUCAGAGACACGAUGCAGCACGGAGGUGCCAAGCAGGUUACAUUAGGAGAUAAUGGAGUUUUGGGGCUGCAGGUUCGAAUUUGUAUGCCUAAUGUGGAUGGGCUCCGGGAGUUGAUUUUAGAGGAGACCCAUAGUUCCCGGUACUCUAUUCAUCCGGGCACCGCUAAGAUAUAUCAGGAUUUGCGGCAGCAUUAUUGGUGGAGGAGAAUGAAGAAGGACAAUGUUGCAUAUGUGGCUCGGUGUUUGAAUUGUCAGCAGGUUAAGUACGAGUAUCAUAGACCUGGUGGUUUGUUCCAGAAGAUUGAGAUUCUCGAGUAAAAGUGGGAGCAUAUAACAAUGGACUUCGUUGUUGGACUCCCACGGACUCAAAGGAAGUUUGAUGCAGUGUGGGUUAUUGUUGAUAGGCUAACCAAGUCAGCACAUUUCAUUCCCAUGGCAGUCUCCUAUUCUUCUGAGAUGUUAGCUGAGAUCUAUAUCUGGGAGAUUAUUCAUCUUCAUGGUAUGCCCGUGUCUAUCAUUUCAGACCGAGGUACGUAGUUUACCUCAUAUUUCUGGAGAGCAGUUCAGCGGGAGUUGGGCAUAUGGGUUGAGUUGAGCACAGCGUUUCAUCCUCAAACGGACAGGCAGUCCGAGCGGACUAUUCAGAUUUUGGAGGAUAUGCUCUGAGCUUAUGUCAUUGACUUUGGAGGCUCGUGGGAUCAGUUUUUGCCUUUAGCAAAGUUUGCCUACAACAACAGCUCCAAUCAAGUGUCCAGAUGGAUCCUUAUGAGGCUUUGUAUGGUAGGCGGUGUCGGUCGCCGGUUAGAUGGUUUCAGCCGGGAGAGACUCGAUUGUUGGGUACGGAUCUAGUAUAGGAUGCCUUGGACAAGGUCAGGAUUAUUCAGGAUAGGCUUCGUACAACUCAGUCUCGUCAAAAGAGUUAUGUCGGCCGUAAGGUUCAUGAUUUGGCUUUCAUGGUCGGUGAGUGGGUAUUGCUUCGGGUGUCGCCUAUGAAGGGUGUGAUGAGAUUUGGGAAGAAGGGCAAGCUUAGCCCUAGGUUCAUUGGCCCGUUUCAGAUUCUUGAUCGAGUGGGAGAGGUGGCUUACAGACUUGCGUUGCCGCAGAGCUUAUCAGUCAUGCAUCCAGUAUUUCAUGUGUCCAUGCUUCAGAAAUAUCACAGCGAUCCACCCCACGUAUUAGAUUUCAGCACUGUCCAGUUGGACAAGGACUUGUCCUAUGAGGAGGAGUCGGUAGCUAUUCUAGACCGGCAGAUUCGUCAGUUGAGAUCGAAGAGUUUUCCUUCUGUUCGUGUUCAGUGGAGAGGUCAGCCUGCUGAGGCAUCGACCUGGGAGUUCGAGUCCGAUAUGCGGAGCCGUUAUCCCCAUCUUUUCUCCGACUCAGGUACUUCCUUCUUAUGUCCAUUCGAGGACUAACAGUUGUUUUAGAGGUGGAGGAUGUUCGUGUUCAGUGGAGAGGUCAUCCUGCUGAGGCAUCGACCUGGGAGUCCGAGUCCGAUAUGUGGAGCCGUUAUCCUAAUUUUUUCCCCGACUCAGGUACAUCCUUCUUAUGUCCAUUUGAGGACGAACGGUUGUUUUAGAGACCCGAAAGGUCAUCACUUAUUUUAGAAGCAAAUCCUAUGUUUCGAGGCCUUAAAACCUUCUUUUUACCUUACCUCGAUUUGCAUGCAUGGUUCGGACUUAUAUCUGAAAUCCUUUUAUGUGAAAAUCUGAGAAAAUGAAAUUUCUAGAGUUAAAAUUUGAUUAUGGUUGACUUUGGUUAACAUUUUGAGAAAACGAACCUGAAUCUGUGUUCCGACGAUCUCGGUAGGUCCGUAGAAAAACAUGGGACUUGGGCGUAUGCCCAGAAUCAAAUUUCGAGUUCCCAAGUCCGAGAAAUGAAUUUUUUUAAGAAAUUGUUUUGUUGAAUUGUUUAUGAAAUAAAUAAAAGAAUUUAUGUUUGAAAUCAUUGGUAUCGGGCCCGUAUUUUGGUUCUAGAGCCCGAUCUUAUAUAUGAUUUAAGUUGAGCCUGUAAAAUUGGUAAGAAACGGACUUGAAAUGAUGUGAUUUGGAACUUUGAAAGUUCAUAAGAUUUCCUUUGAUUUUGGUGAUUAAUUCAUGGUUAUUGAUAUCAUUUUGAGGAUUUGAUUGCACAAUCAAGUCUGUAUGAUGUUUUUAGGUUGGUUACAUGUUUGGUUUGGAACCCCGAGGGCUCGGGUGAGUUUCGGAUAGGCAACGGGGUGAAAUCUAACUUAAGAAAACUGCUGGUAUUUUUCAGACCUGCAGGCUUCGCAAUUGCGAGCUGGAAAUUGCAAUAAACCCAUCGCAUUUGCGAAGACUGGCUGGGAAUGGAACCUUCACAUGCGAAGCUUAUGUCGCAAUUGAGACCUUAGCAGGUAUCGUAUUUGCGAACGAUAGUUCGCAUUUGCGAAGAAGGCAGAGUGGGCAUACUUCGCAAUUGCGAAGCCUUUACUGUAAUUGCGAGUUCACAUUUGCGAACGUAUCAUCGCAAUUGCGAUAUCUGCGACAUGCAAAUUCAUAACUUAGCCAAAAAUCUUUCAUUUGUCAAUCCCUUUCAUAACCAAAACACUCUUGGGCGAUUUUUCAAAGACAACUUCUCUUCCAAAUCGAUUGUAUAUUUCUAACUCGUUUUCUUCAAUCUUUAACAUCUUUUCACAUGAUUUCAACUCAAAAUCAAUGAUUUUCGUGGGGGAAAUUUGGUGUUUUGGGUAGAACAUAGGUUUUUCAAAUUUUGGGGAUUUGGACCUCGAUUUGAGGUCCGAUUUCAAAAUAAAUUAUAUAUUUGGGUUCGUGGGGUAAUGGGUAAUCGAGUUUUGGUUUGAAUAUUGAGUUUUAACCAUGUGGGUCCGGGGAUAAUUUUUGACUUUUUGGGAAAAACUUUAGAAAGCCUAUUUUCAUGCAUCGGAAUUGACUCAUUUAGCAUUUAUUGAUAUAGUUAAGUAAUUUGUGGUUAGAUACGAGCAAAUUGGUGGUGGAAUCAAGAGGUAAAGCGAUAGUUGAGGUUUGAAUUGUGUCCGUGGUAUCGAGGUAAGUGUUUGGUCUAACCUUAGCUUGAGGGAUUAGGGGUUGUGUUCUAUUUGCUAUGUGUUAUUUGUUGAGUACGACGUAUAGGCAUGGUGACGAGUAUCUAUACAUUGGUGUCAAGCAUGCCCGUGAGUCUUAAAUUGAAGUCGUUGUGUUCUUAAUAAGUACUACAAAUGCCUAAGUUGUUGAUUCUCUGUGUUGGGCAAUAAUUAUGAUUAAUCUCGUUGAAAUUGCUUAUGGUUGAGUAUUGGUGCUAGAUAAGGUUCCUUUUGGUAAUGUUAAAUGUUGGAACGAGUUUGGUUAUAGUUGAUUCCCUUGCUGGGGUGUAUUUACUUCUUACUGUCGCUUCCCUUGUCGGGAUAUUGUUGUUUCCUUAUUGUUCCCUUGUUGGGACUCUUUUGUGAUUAGUGUUGAAUUGUUUAUUUGGAUCGGGUAUCACACCGUAACAAUAUUCUAUUUGUAUCGGAUUGCACGCCGCAACAAUAUUAUAUUUGGAUCGGGUUGCACGCCGCAACAAUCUUAUAUUGGAUCGGGUUGCACGCCACAAUAGUGUUUUAUGAUUGGGAUCCGGUUGUGCGCCGCAACAAUAAAGGAUGAAAGUGGAUAUUGAUUUGUUACUGUUUUCCUUAUUCUUUCUGCUGCGAAUUUUAGAUUGUUCUUUAUGCUUUUCCCCUGAGUUACUGUUGGUAAGUGAUAUUUCCCCACAGUAUGCCCCCUUCCUAUCUUUAACUGCUAGUUUCCUUUUAUCAUUACUUGCUAUAUAUGUAUAUGUUUUAACUGCACAGGUUUAGUUGGUAGUCUUGUCCUAGCCUCGUCACUACUUCGCCAGGGUUAGGCUAGGCACUUACCAGCACAUGAGGUCGGUUGUGCUAAUACUACACUCUGCACUAUGUGCAGAUCCCGGAGCAGCAACUUUCGGACUGUAGUUUUGGGUAGCUGCCUUCCAUCCAGUCGGAGAUUCCGAGGUAGUCCUGCAGGCGUCCGCAGGCCUUGGCGUCUUCUCUUAUCCCUUUUGUUUGUUUCUUUCACAUAUUUCAGAGAUAGUGUUGUAAUAAAUCUUUCAGACUUUUAUUUGUAGUAUUCCUAGGCAGUCUGUGGAAUUAUGACACCAGUCUUGGGUAGUUUUUGUAUGGAUUGGUAUUGGCAUCUUUCUUAAAUUACAACAUUUCAGUCUUCUGCUUAUUAGAUUUCCGCUGCUUAUCAAUUGGUGGUUAUUAAUUGUAAAAGGACUAAAAUGGGAAAAAGGAAAUGAUUCAAAUGGUUGGCUUGCUUUAGCUUUCACCAGUAGGCGCCAUCAUAACCCCCGAGGGUGGGAAAUCCAGGUCGUGACAAGUUGGAAUUAGAGCUCUAGGUUAUAUGGGUCUCACAAUUCACAGACAACCUUAGUAGAGUCUGAGGGAUCGGUACGGAGACAUCUGAAUUUAUCCCCCAGAGGCUACGAAGUUAGGAAAAAACUUCACAUCUAUUCUUUCCUGUCGUGUGGUUUGGUUUCUCAAUGCUAAUUGAAUUUCUACUUUGUUCUUUCGGAGAUGGCGAGAACACGCACUUCCUCAUCCACCGAUCAGCAACCCGAGCCCCUAGCAGCAGCUCCCACGAGGGGCAGAGGGCGAGGCCGAGGCCUUUCUAGAGGGCGAGGCCGAGGCCGUGCCAGAGGACGAGGUAGGGGCAGGGCUCAGCCUAGAGUAGUAGUACCAGCGGCGAAGCCUCAGGUUGAGUUUGAUGAUGAGGUUUCGGCCUAGGCAGUUCCGGUGGACCCAGCUCAGGUCCCACAGGGGUUCAUUGCUACCCGAGUACUCCAGGAUGCUCUGGUCCAUCUAGUUGGCCUUAUGGAGAGUGUCACCCGGGUAGGCUUGCUUUCUGUAGCACCAGUUGUCUCUCAGGCUAGAGGAGGAGCCCAGACUCCUGCUACUCGCACUCCGGAGCAGAUGGCUCCCCAGUUUUAGACUCCAGCAGCUCAGCCAGUUGGAGCAAUUCAGCCGGAUAUGGUAGCUCAGACCGGUGAUGGAGCAACUAUGUCUGUUGAUGCUUUGUGGAGAUUGGACAGGUUCACCAAGCUCUUCACUACCACUUUCAGCAGUGCAUCUUCUGAGGAUCCCCAGGAUUAUUUAGACAGUUUCCAUGAGGUUCUCAGGAACAUGGGGAUAGUAUUGACCAAUGUGGUCAACUUCGCUACUUUUCGCCAAUCUGGAUCCGCCAAGACUUGGUGGAGAGAUUAUUGUUUGGCUAGACCAGCCGGAUCACCAGCUUUGACUUGGGAGCAGUUUACUCAGAUAUUUCUGGAGAAGUUUCUCCCUAUCACUUAGAGAGAUAUCUAUUGGAGGCAGUUUGAGCAUCUUCAGCAGGGUUCUAUGACUGUUACUCAGUAUGAGACUAGAUUCAUCGACUUGGCCCGUCAUGCUCUUAUCAUACUUCCCACCAAGAGAGAGAGGGUGAAGAGGUUCAUUGAGGGACUCAUUCAGCCUAUUCGACUUUAGAUGGCUAAGGAGAUGGGGAGUGAGAUUUAUUUUCAAUUGGCGGCCAAUGUGGCCAGGAGAGUUGAGAUGGUUCUAUCGCAGGGAGGUGGUCAGGGGUUUGACAAGAGGCCUCGUCAUUCAGGCAGAUUCAGUGGUGCCUCGUCUGGAGGCAGGGAUUCGUAUGGUAUAGGCCAUCCUCCUAGUCCUUUUCAGUCAGCACUUCAGGUUUCUCACGGCUCUUCAGGUGGUCGUGGUUCUCAUAUGUAGUAUUCUGAUCAGCAGCCCUACAGUGCACUACCAGCUCAUAUCAGUGUACCGCCGCUCCAGAGUUUUCAGGAUGGUCAUUCAGAUCGCAUGGGUCAAUCUCAGUUUCCUCAGCCGCAACACUCAGGUGGAUGCUUUGAGUACGGUGAGUAUGGUCAUAUCUGGAGGGCUAGUCCAAGAUUUGUAGGUAUUCAGUCGCAGCAGCAAGGUUCCCGUGCCAUGGUUCAGGCGCCAGGUGUUCCACCGCCCGCUCCUCCAGCUAGGGGUGGGGGUAGAGGUGCUAGAGGUGGAGGUAGAGGAAUUAGAGAUGGAGGUCAUGCCACUAAAUGUGGAGGCCAACCAGCAGCAGGCCGUCCCAGAGAUGUAGUUCAGGGAGGCCGGGCCCAGCUCUGAUGUUAUGCUCUUCCAGCUAGGUCUGAGGCUGAGGCUUCCGAUGCAGUUAUCACAGGUACUGUUCUAGUUUGUAGUAGAGAUGCUUAGGUUUUAUUUGAUCUAGGAUCUAUGUACUUCUAUGUGUCAUCUUAUAUUGCACUAUAUCUAGUCAUGCCUAUUGAUUCCUUGAGUACUCCUAUAUAUAUGUCUACACCGGUGGGUGAUUAUAUUAUGGUAGAUCGAGUCCAUCGUUCGUGUAUAGUUGUGAUUGGGGGUCUUGAGACCCGUGUAGAUUUGUUACUUCUAGACAUGUUUGAUUUUGAUGUCAUAUUAGAGAUGGACUGGUUAUCACCUUACCACGUUAUCUUGGACUGUCAUGCCAAGACUGUGACCUUAGCCUUGCCGGGUAUACCUCGUAUGGAGUGGAGAGGGACUCCUGGUCAUUCUACUCGUAGCGUUAUCGCAUAUAUGAAGGCUCGGCGUAUGGUCGAGAAGGGGUGCUUGGCCUAUUUGGCAUAUGUUCGUGAUUCUAGUGCAGAGGUUCGUUCUAUUUAUUCUGCACCUGUUGUUCGUGAGUUUCUUGAGGUAUUUCCUUCAGACCUAUCGGGUAUGCCACCCGAUAGGGAUAUUGACUUCUACAUUUAUUUGGCUCCGGAAACUCAGCCUAUUUCUAUUCUACUGUAUAGUAUGGCCCCGCCUGAGUUGAAAGAAUUAAAGGAGCAGUUGCAACAUUUGCUUGAGAAUGGCUUCAUUAAACCUAGUGUCUCGCCUUGGGGCGUGCCAGUAUUGUUUGUUUAGAAGAAGGAUGGAUCGAUGCGAAUGUGUAUAGAUCACCGGCAGUUGAACAAGGUUACAAUCAAUAAUAAGUAUCCAGUGUAGAGGAUUGAUGAUUUGUUUGAUCGGCUUCAGGGUGCCAAGGUAUUUUCGAAGAUUAACUUGAGAUCUGGCUACCAUCAGUUGAGGAUUAGGGCAUCUGGUGUCCCUAAGAUAGUUUUUCGCACUCGGUACGGGCAUUAUGAGUUCCUGGUGAUGUCAUUCUGGUUGACAAAUGCCCUAGCAGCUUUUAUACAUUUGAUGAAUCGAGUGUUUAGGCCUUACUUGGAUUCGUUUGUGAUAGUCUUCAUUGAUGAUAUUUUUAUCUAUUCUCAUAGCCGGGAGGAGCACGAGCAACAUCUUAGAGUGGUUCUUCAGACUUUGAGAGAUAGUUAGUUGUAUGUUAAGUUUCUGAAGUGUGAGUUCUGGUUGAGUUCAGUUGCGUUCUUGGGUUAUGUCAUAUCAGCAGAGGGUAUUCAGGUAGAUCCGAAGAAGAUAGAGGCAGUCAAGAACUGGCCCAGACCAGCAUCAGCUAUAGAGAUCUGGAGCUUCUUGGGUUUGGCAGGCUAUUAUCGUCGCUUUGUGGAGGGGUUUUCAUCUAUUGCAGCCCUGAUGACCAGGUUGACCCAGAAGGGUGCCUAGUUCAGGUGGUCAGAUGAGUGUGAGGCGAGCUUUCAGAAGCUCAAGACAACUUUGACUACGAUGCCAAUGUUGGUUUUGCCCACAGGUUCAGGGCCAUAUACAGUUUAUUGUGAUGCAUCUCGUAUUGGACUUGGUGCAAUGUUGAUGCAGGAUGGCAAGGUCAUUGCCUAUGCUUUGCGGUAGUUGAAUAUUCAUGAAGAACUAUCCGGUUCACGCGUGUAAGAUUUGGAGGCAUUAUCUAUAUGUCGUGGCAUGUGAGGUGUUCAUGGAUCACAAGAGUCUUCAGUAUUUGUUCAAGCAGAAGGGGCUAAAUUUGAGGUAGACAAGGUGGUUGGAGCUAUUAAAGGACUAUGAUAUCACCAUCUUAUAUCAUCCGGGAAAGGCCAAUAUGGUGGCCGAUGCUUUGAGUAGGAAGUCAACCAGUAUGGGCAGUCUUGUUUAUAUUCUGGUCGGUGAGAGACCGCUUGCUUUGGAUGUUCAGGCUUUGGUCAAUCAAUUCAUGAGGUUGGAUGUUUUUGAGCCCAGUCGUGUGUUAGCUUGCACAGUCGCUCAUUCUUCAUUAUUGGAGCGUAUCCGAGAUCUGUAGUAUAAUGAUCCUUAUUUGUGUGUCCUCAGAGACACAAUGCAGCACAGAGGUGCCAAGCAGGUUACAUUAGAAGAUGAUGGAGUUUGAGGUUGCAGGGUCGAGUUUGUGUGCCUAAUGUGGAUGGGUUCCGGGAGUUAAUUUUAGAGGAGGCCCAUAGUUCUCGAAACUCUAUUCAUCCGGGCGCCGCUAAGAUAUAUCAGGAUUUGUGGCAGCAUUAUUGGUGGAGGAGAAUGAAGAAGGACAUUGUUGCAAAUGUGGCUCGGUGUUUGAAUUGUUAGCAGGUUAAGUACGAGCAUCAGAGGCCUGGUAGUUUGUUCCUGAAGAUUGAAAUUCCCGAGUAGAAGUGGGAGCGUAUCAUUAUGAACUUAUUUGUUGGACUCUUACGAACUCAGAGGAAGUUCGAUGCAGUGUGGGUUAUUUUUGAUAGGUUGACCAAGUUAGCACAUUUCUUUCCCGUGGCAGUGUCCUAUUCUUCUAAGAGGUUAGCUGAGAUCUAUAUCCGGGAGAUUGUUUGUCUUCAUGGAGUGCCCGUGUCGAUCAUUUCGUACCGAGGUACGUAGUUUACUCACAUUUCUGAAGAGAAGUUCAGCGGGAGUUGGUCACACAGGUUGGGUUGAGCACAGCAUUUCAUCCUCAGACGGACGGGCAGUCCGAGCGGACUAUUCAGAUUUUGGAGGAUAUGCUCCGAGCUUAUGUCAUUGACAUUGGAGGCUCGUGGGAUCAGUUUUGCCUUUAGCAAAGUUUGCCUACAACAACAGCUACCAAUCAAGUGUCCAGAUGGAUCCUUAUGAGGCUUUGUAUGGUAGGCGGUGUCGGUCGCCGGUUAGAUGGUUUCAGCCGGGAGAGACUCGGUUGUUGGGUACGGAUCUAGUAUAGGAUGCCUUGGACAAGGUCAGGAUUAUUCAGGAUAGGCUUCGUACAACUCAGUCUCGUCAAAAGAGUUAUGCCGGCCGUAAGGUUCAUGAUUUGGCUUUCAUGGUCGGUGAGUGGGUAUUGCUUCGGGUGUUGCCUAUGAAGGGUGUGAUGAGAUUUGGGAAGAAGGGCAAGCUUAGCCCUAGGUUCAUUGGCCCGUUUCAGAUUCUUGAUCGAGUGGGAGAGGUGGCUUACAGACUUGCGUUGCCGCAGAGCUUAUCAGUCGUGCAUCCAAUAUUUCAUGUGUUCAUGCUUCAGAAAUAUCACAGCGAUCCACCUCACGUAUUAGAUUUUAGCACUGUCCAGUUGGACAAGGACUUGUCCUAUGAGGAGGAGUCGGUAGCUAUUCUAGACCGGCAGGUUCGUCAGUUGAGAUCGAAGAGUUUUCCUUCUAUUCGUGUUCAGUGGAGAGGUCAUCCUGCUGAGGCAUCGACCUGGGAGUCCGAGUCCGAUAUGUGGAGCCGUUAUCCUUAUUUUUUCCCCGACUCAGGUACUUCCUUCUUAUGUCCGUUCGAGAACGAACGGUUGUUUUAGAGGUGGAGGAUGCGAUGACCCGAAAGGUCAUCACUUGUUUUAGAAGCAAAUCAUGUGUUCUGAGGCCUUAAAACCUCCUUUUUACCUCACUUCGAUUUGCAUACGUGGUCCGGACCUAUAUCCGGAAAGCUUUUAUGUGAAAAUAUGAGAAAAUGAAAUUUCUAGAGUUAAAAUUUGAUUAUGGUUGACUUUGGUCAACAUUUUGAUCAAACGGACCUGGAUCCGUGUUCCGACGAUCCCUGGAUGUCCGUAGGAAAAUAUGGGGCUUGGGCGUAUGCUCGGAAUCGAAUUCCGAGUUCCCAAGCCCGAGAAAUGAAUUUUUUGAAAGAAAUUGUUUUGUUGAAUUAUUUAUGAAAUAAAGAAAAGAAUUUAUGUUUGAAAUCAUUGUUAUCGGGCCCGUAUUUUGGUUCUGGAGCCCGGUACAAGUCUUAUAUAUGAUUUAAGUUGAGCUUGUAAAAUUUGGUUAGAAACAGACUUGAAAUGACGUGAUUCGGAACUUUAGUUGUAAAAUUUGGAACUUUGAAAGUUCAUGAGAUUUUCUUUGAUUUUGGUGGUAAAUUCAUGGUUAUUGAUGUUAUUUUGAGGAUUUGAUUGCACGAUCAAGUUCGUAUGAUGAUUUUAGGUAGGUGUACAUGUUUGGUUUGGGGCCCCAAGGGCUCGGGUGAGUUUCGGAUAGGCCGCGGGGUGAAAUCUAACUUAGGAAAACUGCUGGUAUUUUUCAGACUUGUAGGCUUCCCAAUUGCGAAGCCUGGCUCGCAAUUGCGAGCUGGCAAUUGUGAUAAACCCAUCGCAUUUGCGAAGACUGACUGGGAAGGGAACCUUCGCAAUUGCGACCUUAGUAGGUAUCGUAUUUGCAAACGAUAGUUCGCAUUUGCGAAGAAGGCAGAGUGGGCAUACUUCACAAUUGUGAAGCCUUUGCCACAAUUGCAAGUUCGCAUUUUCGAACGUAUCAUCGCAAUUGCGAUAUCUACGACCUGCAAAUUCAUAACUUAGCCAAAAAUCUUUCAUUUUUCAAACCCUUUCAAAACCAAAACACUCUUGGGUAAUUUUUCAAAGACAACAUCUCUUCCAAAUCGAGUGUAAGUCAUUUCUAACUCGUUUUCUUCAAUCUGUAAUAUCUUUUCACAUGAUUUCAAGUCAAAAUCAAUGAUUUUCAUGGGGGAAAUUGGGUGUUUUGGGUAGAACCUAGGUUUUUCAAAUUUUGAGGAUUUGGACCUCGAUUUGAGGUCCGAUUUCAAAACAAAUUAUAUAUUUAGGUUCGUGGGGGAAUGAGUAAUCGGGUUUUGGUCCGAACCUCGGGUUUUGGUCCGAACCUCGGGUUUUGACCAUGUGGGCCCGGGGGCGAUUUUUGACUUUUUGGGAAAAACUUUAGAAAACCUAUUUUCAUGCAUUAGAAUUGACUCAUUUAGCAUUUAUUGAUAUAGUUAAGUAACUUGUGGCUAGAUACAAGAAAAUUGGUGGCGGAAUCAAGAGGUAAAGCGAUAGUUGAGGCUUGAAUUGUGUUCGUGGCAUCGAGAUAAGUGUUUGACUAACCUUAGCUUGAGGGAUUAGGGGUUGUGUCCUAUUUGCUAUGUGUUAUUUGUUGAGUACGAUGUAUUGGCAUGAUGACGAGUAUCUAUUCAUUGGUGUCAAGCAUGCCCGUGAGUCUUAAAUUGAAGUCUUUGUGUUCUUAAUAAGUACUACAAAUGCCUAAGUUGUUGAUUCUCUGUGUUGGGCAAGAAUUAUGAUUAAUCUCAUGGAAAUUGCUUAUGUUUGUGUAUUGGCGCUAGAUAAGGUUCCUUUUGGCGAAGUUGAAUGUUGGAACGAGUUUGGUUAUAGUUGAUUCCCUUGCCGAGACAUAUUUACUUCUUACUGUAGCUUCCCUUGUCGGGAUAUUGUUGUUUCCUUAUUAUUUCCUUGUCGGGACUCUUUUGUGAUUGGUGUUGAAUUGUAUAUUUGGAUCGGGUUGCACGCCGCAACAAUAUUCUAUUUGGAUCGGGUUGCACGCCGCAACAAUAUUAUAUUUGGAUCGGGUUGCAUGCCGCAAGAAUCUUAUAUUGGAUCGGGUUGCAUGCCGCAACAGUCUUUUAUGAUUGGGAUCGGGUUGCGCGCCGCAACAAUAAAGGAUGAAAGUGGAUAUUGAUUUGUUACUAUUUUCCUUAUUCUUUCUGCUGCAAAUUUUAGAUUGUUCUUUAUGCUUUUCCCCUGAGUUACUGUUGGUAAAUGAUAUUUCCCCACUGUAUGUCCCCCUCCCAUCUUUAACUGCUAGUUUCCUUUAUCAUUACUUGCUAUAUAUGUAUAUGCUUUAACCGCACAGGUUUAGUUGGUAGUCUUGUCCUAGCCUUGCCACUACUUCGCCGGUGUUAGGCUAGGCACUUACCAGCACAUGGAGUCGGUUGUGCUGAUACUAUACUCUGUAUUGUGUGCAAUUCCCGGAGCAGCAACUUUCGGACCGUAGUUUUGGGUGGUUCCCUUCAGUCCAGUUGGAGAUUCUGAGGUAGUCCUGCAGGCGUCGGUAGGCCUUAGCGUCUUUUCCUAUCCCUUUUGUCUGUUUUCAUAUAUUUCAGAGAUAGUGUUGUAAUAAAUCUUUCAGACUUUUAUUUGUAGUAUUCCUAGACAGUCUGUGGAAUUGUGACACCAGUCUUGGGUAGUUUUUGUAUGGAUUAAUAUUGGCAUCUUUCUUAAAUUAUUACAUUUUAGUCUUCCGCUUAUUAGAUUUCCGCUGCUUAUCAAUUGUUGGUUAUUAAUUUUAAAAGGACUAAAAUGAGAGAAAGGAAAUGAUUCAAAUGGUUGGCUUGCCUAGCUUUCACCAGUAGGCGCCAUCACAACCCCCGAGGGUGGGAAAUCCAGGUCGUGACAGUAAUACCCGACUUGAGCAUAUAUCAUUUGAUUUGUGCAAAUACCCAUUUGGGCUUGAGAAAGCCAAAUCGGGCAAUAUUACUCAAACUACCGAGAGGUAUAGAGUGAGUAAUUGCGUGUGUUUGAUAUACCACGAACCUGAUAAAUCAAACUUGCCUAAUAGUUUACAACCCGUUAGGUAGCCACCUAGGUGGAGUCACGACCCUAGAUUCCUUUAUCAAUUGAAAAGCAUCUCAAAACCGAAAAUAUUAUCCUUUAGUUUUAUCUUUGCAAUCAAUAGAUGAAAGUAGAAGUAAUACACCAAUCAACAUUGUGGAAGUACAAUUUAAGCCAAAACUUGCAACCAACUUAGAUAUACCUAAUCCCAUAUUUUAACUCCAUGUGGAUUUGAUCCAGACCUUUGUUGGGUUAUUAUUCCAUCGACCGCCUCGCUACUUAAUUGUGGUGUAGAUUUAUCCGAGAUCACUAGGUCUAUUGGUGGUGCAACUGGGGCAACUCUGGGACGUCCUCGUCCCCUACCUCUGGUCGAUGCCCUCCCCCAGCCUCUGCCUUAAUCUCUAGCAAUGGGGGGAGCAGCUCCACUCGGGUCCGGAAUGUCUGUUGCGCGCAUUCUCACCAUCUGUAAGCGAUUUAGAGGGAGAAUUUAGUAUACCAGCAACUCCACAAUAGAAGAUGAAUAAAGAGUUGUUUCCUAACUGGCCUCUCGAAGAUAAGUACAGACAUCUCAGUACUGAUCCGCAAGACUCUAUUAGGACUGCCCAUGACUUGUGAGACCUACGUGAACCUAGUGCUCUGAUACCAUGUUGUCACAACCCAAUUUCGUUAUAGGCCGUGAUGGCCCCAAUACCGUUGUUAGGCAAGCCAACACCAAUCAACUAGUAAUUUCCCGUUUAAAUAGAUUAUUACGUAGUAGCAUUACCUUAUUUGUUAAAACGACUUAGAGAUUAGCAGGUGUUACAUAAAUAAGUGGAAACAAUGAGUACUAAUCAAAAUUAUGUAAGCAAAUCCAAAAUCAUAAGUCUACUAGUGAGUGUGCACAAGUCUGUAGGCAAUUUAGUAGAAUAUAUAAAAGAAUACUACUAGCCUACUGUCUGAGAGGAAAUAGACCGGAAAGUAAAACAUAAGGAAGACUCCAACUACUGUAGAACGGCUCGAAAGGCAGCUCACUGUGAAGUCUCGAAGUAGGGAUUAACUACGCGCAUUGGACGAGUAACUAGAUGCACUUGCCUCAGAUCCUGUACAAUUAAGUACAGAAGCAUAGUAUGAGUACAUAAACAACAUGUACCCAGUAAGUAUCCAGUCUAACCUCGAAGAAGCAGUGACGAGCGGUCGACUUUGACACUUAGUAUGGGCAAAAAAUGAUAUAAUCAAAGUAUUAUACUAGGCAUGGAUUUCACGAAUAACACUAAAAGCUCAACGACAGGAAGUGUUGGAUUCUUCUUUCACAAAUAUAAAUUUCAAAUUUAGUUAUAUCAUUUAUCAGCUUACAUUUCAAGACAUUUAAGCAAUUUCAGUCAUGGAGAGUUUCAAAGAAUUAUCAUGCGCAAAUUAUGUCGAGAUCGUACGGCCCUUUCCAACAAUAUAUAUAUAUAUAUAUAUAUAUAUAUAUAUAUAUAUUGUGCACUACCGGAGGGUCGAACAACGCGAACCAUAGAUGCAUCUAUUUACUAUCGAGGCGCACGGCCUGAUCCCCAAAUAACAAUUAUUUUUAAGAAAAUAUAAAUUUCUCAUUUACAGUAAAGUAUCUCAUACAAACCUUCAAGUAAGUGAAUUCAACCUUAUACAAAUCAUUUUAUCAAUUUCUAAUAUGACUUAAGUGACUAUUUUAGCAAGUAAGAACGCAAACAUUUCAAAUAUGGCAUGAUACGGGUCCUAAACUACCUAGACAAUAGCAUAAUAGUAGAAACAUACGGAAUCUCGUCACCUCGUAAAUAUGUAGCCCCCACAAAUAGGUACAAACAUUUAUUUAAUUCACCAAUGGGGUUAAUUCCCUCUUAUAAGGUUAUAAAGGAGAUUUACCUCGUCUCAAGCCUACUUUCCAAUUCAAGAAUGCGCUCAAACCUGGCUCAUUUUAUGCUAACUUAAGGAACCAGGUGUUCUGAUUUCAAUCCAAACUCUUCCAAAUCUCGAACCAACCAUCCCCGCAAGUCAUAAAUCAGUAAAAGCAAGUACGGGAAGUCUCAUUUAGGGGAAUGGAGUUCUAGAAAGCAAAAUGACAGAUCGGAUCGUUACAACAAGCUACGAAUGUUAAAAGAUGUUUAUCCUAAAUUAAAUUGAGAUUAUUAUGAGGUCAAGGGUUCUUGAUAGGAGAUUUUGUGGGAGAAGUGAUAUAAUUAAACUUUUGACAAGAUCUACUAAUUAGUAGAGGUAAAAGAGAAAUGGGCUAACUUGUAGACUUCAUCGUGUUGGGCUAGUCAAAGUUCAAUCGUAUUAUCCACAUUUAAUUCUCAAACAACAAUAAUAACCCAUUACUCAUUAAACUUGCACUUUAAUAAAGCUUGACGCCGACAUUAAUUUAAAAAAAUGUGUUAAAAUCAUCGACACUAACAUAUCUAUUUGGUCAACUUUCCAAAUUUCAUGAGCCAAAAUGGAUUAAAUAAUUAACCAUCGACCAAUACUCACUCAAAUCAAAUAAACAAAACCCAGAACAAUAAAUUAUUGAAGGUAGACAACCAAAUGUGAUAUACAAACGAAAAGGGAACAUGGUGAAAUAAAAACAAUGGAAACAGUGGUUAAGAAAAGAAUGAAACUUUUAUAGAUGAAGAUCUUCUUUGAUACAUGAGGAUAUAGGAAACCUUCAGGUCAACAUGCGGAAUGAACUGCGACCAGAGAUGACGGGUGGAACCUCGAAUGGAAAAUUUUCCUGUGACCCCGACCAACCUUUUUUGCCAAUGGUUUUUUUGAGUGUUUGGACAAAUUUGAGGACUGCUUUAGGGCUGAUUUUUGGAGUUAAUGUUUUUGAAUUUUCAUGGUAAAAAUAGGGGACUUACAGCUAGUGGAGUCUUGUUUAUGGGUGUGUUGAGGGAAUUUUUGUCGCUGUUUCCCAUAUAUCAUUAUACCUUCUUCUGAACUGACGCAUCGCUUGUCACUUCCAUUUAAUGUAUGUGACACGUGGUGUCCUACUAUUGGCUUUGCAAUUCCUCAGUGUCUUUUAGGGCUUUUUUACGACUGCAUCAAUCAUGAAGUGACAGUUUUCAUAAUGACGUUUCCAUCAUUACCUUUUUGUUUGAUGGUAGCUUCCGAGUAUAAAAAUAUAUCCUUUGUCUGUUCUUUCACGAAAAAGUUCUCCAUAUUUUGCCAUUCAAUCCCUUUUUCUCUUUGUACAGCUAUGUCUUCUUCAAACACUGAUCCUCAAAAGGUUCUUAUUGUAGAUGAACUUCCCCUCGCUCCUACCAGAAGCAGGAGAGGUGGUAGGCUGCGUAGUUUAGGAUCAAUUUCCGUUCAAGGUUCUUCUUCUCAACCUAGUACUACUCCUCCAUCAUCUUAUAGAACUAGGGCUUCAUUUUCACAUAGGCCUUCUGCUAGAAGUAGGAUUCCAGUGAGCCAAUUCGUGAACCUACAGUAGAUGAGAUUAUCCCUGUUGAACUUUCUUUAUACUGAUAGAGAGUCGAUUAGAAACCAGGACUCCUCUAUGUCCUCUCAUGAUCCUGCCGAUGUUUAUCCUUCACAGAUUACUGAAGGUUUGAUCUCUGUUAUUCGUAGAUAUUGUCAUUGGAAGUUUGAUUUCUCAAUUUUGAUCCCCAACGCAAAUCAAAGGAUCACUUCUUUUAAAGCUAGAUUUUCUUUUGUGUACACGUAUCCCUUUACAUUAGACUUUAGACCUCCUAUUAACCCAGUUGCUAUUGAGUUCUGCCGCUUCUUCAAUGUGUAUUUAGGACAAAUUGGCCCUAUUGUAUGGAGGGUUGUUGCAUGUUUAAGGUAUUUGGCUAAUGUGGCUACACUGUCUUUCACCUUUUAUCAUCUAAUCCAUCUCUACUCUCCUAAAUUAUUCCGUCAUGGGGUGUUUACUCUGGUGGCAAGGAGUAAGAGAGUUUUAGUUAGCCCUGAAGAUGAUAAAGAUCAUGGCUAGUACACCCGAUUUGUUGUUGCUCCUACGAAAGGGUUAGUAGGUGAAGAGAAUAUGUCCUUCCAUGAGAAGUGGAACUUUGCACGUUAGUUUUUUUUACAACUUUCUUUUUCUCUUUUUUUAGAGCUUGUACUUCCCGUGACUGUUUUACUUUUCUUUUUCAGCAACCAUGGGAUCUGUUGAGGAGAUUCCCGAUUUUCGUAGUUGGGUAGAAAAAUUGUUAACACUUGCUCCGAUGGAAGUAAGGUCUUGGAAGUACCUUUCAAAUAGGUUUGUCUGGAAGGUUAAGACCCACGGUAAUAAAAUUUAUUUUCUCCUUUCUUUUCUUCAUUCAUUCUCUCUUUAGAAUUUGUUAACCCUUCUUUUUAUCAGGGUGCCCUAGUAAAGGUUUGAGUGUUGAGUCAAUCGCAGCUUCUAGACUUUCUUUAGUAAGAGCUCAAGAGAUAAUCUUGAGUUCUUUAUUGAAAAGAAAAGCUGAUAGACCACAGGAUUUUGAAGAUAAAGAGGAGCGGGAUGGAAGCUCUUUAGUUCGUAAGCCGUGGGCUAGAAGACGUGCCAUUUCGAAUGACGAAGCUACUCGUCCUCGCCUUAUUUUUGUGAUCGAGCCCGCUGAAGCCACUUUAGUGAGUUCUGAUGAAGAGACGUCUGUGGCACCUCGUGACUCUGAUGAACUCCUCUUUUCACAUGGAUUUGAUAAUGAAAACUUUGACUUGAUUUCUGAGGAAGCACCUCUUGCCUCUUUUCCUGUGUGUUGUCCCAAUAGAAUCUCAUCUUCAUGUUUCUACCGUUGUUGUUGCUGCUUCGCCCGAAGCUAUUAUGACUUCUUCGACCGUUCCUGUUGCUAAUAUUUCUCGUACUAAAAUUGGUUCUUCAAGUGGAAGCAGGGCAAUGAGUCAAAUUACCAUUGAAGUUCCUACUGAUGGUAAUCUUUUGAAGAAGUCAGGCCAAGCUGACGUUUGGCUAAAACCCUUGAUAGGUCCGGUCUAAAAGUCAAAACUGGAAAGUCAUAGUUCUUUGACUUGGAUGAACGACAUUGUGCAAUCAUCAUUGAAGGUUUAAACUCCUCUUUUUAUCUUAUGUAAUUUUCCUUUUACUAGGAUCUAACCUUUUUCUCUUUAUGUAGAUCAAUCUCAUUAGUACGAAGAUGAUGAAAAGGGUUUCUCAUAUGGGGCAGUUGAUGGAUGACUACCAGAUUUAGGCUGAUAAUUGGAAAGAGCAGUAUAAAGUCUCCAGCUCGAGAUGGAAGUUUUAGAAGAGAACAAAUGUACCUUGGAGCAGCAUAUAAAAGUUAUGGUAAUAGAGCUAGCAGCUGAGAAAGUCUCUUCCAACCAGGCGGGCAAGGAUAAGCACAUUCUUGAGUCGUCUUUUGCUGAACAAAUGUCUAAGGCUACAGAAGAGAUCAGAGGUCUGAAGGCCAUGUUAGACGAGAAAGAAGGUUAUGCUGGUGAGCUUGUUCAAACACUCACCCAAGCUCAAGAAUAUCUCCGGGUAUCUUCUGAUAAGGUUAUGUUUUGGAGAGUUCGCUUGCCCCUUUACAAGCUUCUUAUGAUGCUACCUUAGCUGAGAAGGAAGAGCUUAAGAACGCAAUUAAUCAUUGGGAGAGAGAUUAUGAAGCUCUUGAAGACAAGGCUGCUAUUGAAGUAAGUUGGGCCGUUUUGAACACAUGCCACGAUACUCUUAUGGAGGUAAGCCAUGAAGGUUAUAACUUGGAUGCUGAGAUAACAAAGAUUAAGGAAACAAUUGAGAAAACUCAACAAAGCUAAAGUUUCUCUUCACCUGUGGCUGAUACUCCCGAAGGUGUUGAAGCUAAUCUUGGUGUAGUGGUUGUUCAAGCCCUUUCUGAUCAAGUUGAACCUUCUACUGCUAAUGACGCCAUCUUGAAUAUUGGUUCAGAACCUGCUCCAUAGUGAAAGUUUGAUUGUGAAGUUGACUAGUUUUUUUUUGUUUUGUUAGCGAAACACUUUGUGGUUUUACCCCUAGUCCCAUUUAGGGGUAAUGUUUUCGGAUAACAUCAUACCCGUAGUCAAUUUUGGGGGUUUUUUGUGAAGGAAAUUAAGUUGAAACUAUGUUUAGUUUCAACUAAUGUAUUAAGAUAUAAAGUUUUUGUUCAACUUUUAUAAUAUAUUUUAUUUCGAGUUUCUGUUUUAUUCUUUUAGUGGUUUGACCUUGCCUUUUUCUUUAUAAGUUUAAGACCUUGUUUUCCACUUCAAUUUUAAUGUGUGGGUUUUUAUUUUACCCUUUUGCAUUUAAAACUACUUUAUUAAUUUCAUGGCUUUUUGAAUCAAGCACGAAUUAUAAAAGAGGUCCCUUUUAUAUACGACACUUAAUGAAGAAGAUGUCUCAACUUCAUAAUGGAAUAAAUAUACGAAAGAAGAAAUAGGAACACACAUGUUUCUUGGAAUAACUUUGAGAAAAGUUUUAUUUCAUUCAAACUUGUCGAACUAAAUAAUACCUUACAUGUAUUUAAGUAUUAUAUAUAACUCUUCUGUAAGUGUUUUCUUUUACAACAGAUUUGUAAAAAAGGAAAUCCAAGGGUUUCUUUAUAACCCAUAACUAAAUACUGCCUUAUACCUAAACAUUCGUAAGACUUAAAGAUUUACAUCUACGAAUGUGUCUUUCAUAGGUUUUUCAAUCAGGCUUGUGUUUUUGGCUCGUGACUUUUCUCUGAACUUGAGAUUUGUUGAGUAGACUUUAGGCUUGACUUUAAUUGUUCCAGUCCUCUUUGCCUUCCCUAUACAUAUACCAUAUGUAUAUUAUAUAGUCUCCCAAGUGUUUCAGCUUUGAAGUAUGAAAUCUCCAGCACUUGAUUAUUCCUUUCAUGCGGUCCUUUUCCUAAAAGGAAAAACAUAUGGGACUCGGAGGUAUAAUUUAGAUGAAGAUUGCUAACCCAUUACAUUUCCAUCAGAAUAGUUGUACCCCUAGACCAGGAAUUAUGUUUAUUCCGCGUGUCUUUCAGGUCUAAUUUCAUCAUUUGGUGUGGGCUAGUUGUUUGCCUAUCAUUUAAAAUUGUUAGUAUAACUUUAGCAGUUCAAUAACAAAAAUCGUAAGUGAGGAUACCUGACCGUGGGUAUUUCCUUCCCUUAGAAAUAGUACUUCUUCAGAUGAACAGCAUUUCAACUCGAGGGUAGAAUCUUGCCAUCCAUGGUUUCAAGUUCAUAUGCACCUUUUCCUGUGAUACCACGAUUCUUGUAAGGUCCUUCCCAAUGUGGACUCAACUUCCCUGCAUUGGCUGCUCUUGUGGAUUGAAAAACUUUUUUGAGUAUGUAGUCCCCCAAUAUUGAAGUAUCUGAGACGAGAUUUCCGAUUGUAAUAUCACUCAAUGACUUGUUUUUGCGCAGCCAUCCUUAUUAAGGCAGUUUCUCUCCUUUUCUCAAGCAAAUCGAGAUUUACCCCCAUCUCCUUUUCAUUUGACUCUCCAGUAACUUGAAUAUAUCUCGUACUUGGCUCCCUUAUUUCAACUAGAAUUAAGGAUUCAGCACCGUACACAAGUGAGAAUGGUGUCUCUCCCGUACUUGUUUUUGUUGUUGUUCGGUAAGCCCAUAAGACUCUAGGUAGCACCUCUGACCACUUGCCUUUUGAUUCUUCUAGUCUUUUCUUCAAGUUGUUGAUAAUAACUUUAUUUGUUGAUUCAGCUUGUCCAUUGGCCACUGGAUGAUAAGGUGUCGAGGUGAUCCUUUUAAUUUGCUAACUUUGAAAGAAUUUUGUGAUUUGCGCACCUACGAACUGCGGGCCAUUAUCACACACGCUCUUUUGGAACUCCAAAUCGACAUAUGAUGUUUCGCCAGAUGAAGUCCCUCACCUUUUUUUCUCGUAUCUGUUUGAAGGCACCUGUUUCUACCCACUUAGUAAAAUAAUUAGUGAGUACUAUAGAAAUCGUACCUUGCCUUUGGCUUGUGAUAGUGGACCCAUUAUAUCAAUUCCUCACUUCAUAAAAGGCCAUGGUGCAACAACCUGAUGUAAUAAUUCAGUUUGUCGAUGCAUGUUGUUAUCAUACCUUUGGCACUUGUCACAUUUAGCCACAAAAUUUUCUGCUUCUUCUUCCAUUUUUUGCCAGUAAUACCAUGCUCUAAUUAAAGUGUUCACCAAGGAUAUUCCUCCGGCGUGAUUUCCAUAAUGUCCUCAUUAUAUAUUCUAUUUGACAAGGUCCGAGACAUCUUGCUAGAGGGCAGCCGAACAUUUUUCAAUAUAGAUUGCCUCGAUCUAAACAGUAACGAGCAGUCUUUUGACGAAGUUCCUGAGCCUUUUUCUUAUCUUCUGGUAAUAUUCUGUACUGCAAAAAACUGACAAUCUUGUUUCUCCAACCCCAAGUUAAAUUAUUGAAAUUUACCUUAUUUUUAUCUUGAUCAAGUACUGAAUGAAACAAAUGUAUUACUGGAGCAUUUUCUUUAUUUGUUACUUCUGCAGUGGAUGCAAGAUUAGCCAACGCGUCUGCCUUGGCAUUUUCUUCUCUUGGUAUCUGUGUAAUUUUCCAAGUUUGGAAUUGUCUAACUAAGUCCCGUACCUUUUCCAGAUAUUGCUGUAUUCUCGCCACUCUAGCUAUAUAAGUCCCCUGCAUUUAGUUUACUACGAGUUGCGAAUCGCUUUUGAUUAUGACCUGCUCUAUUCUGAGCUCUCGUGCCAAUUCUAGACCUACAAUCACAGCUUCAUAUUUUUCUUCGUUAUUAGUAAUAUGAUGGCAUUUUAUGGCUUGUCGUAUAGUUUCUCCCACAUGUGGGAUCAAGAUAAUGCAUAAACCUGCUCCCUUUACAUUUGAAGAUCUAUCGGUAAAUAAGAUUCAAGUACCUGGAUUAGAUACAUUAAAUACCUGCAGUUCUUUUUCUGCCUCUGCCUGCAUCCCUGGGCUAAAAUCCGCCACAAAAUCUGCUAGAACCUGUGACUUUAUUGCGGUUCUAGGUUUAUAUGUGAUGUCAUAUUCACUUAGCUCUAUAGACCAUUUGGCUAACCUACCUGAUAACUCUUGUUAUGCAAUAUAUUACGUAAGGGGUAGGCAGUUACUAUAGAGAUAGGAUGACACUGAAAAUAAGGCCUUAAUUUUCUUGAUGCCAUAAUUAAUGCUAGUGCAAGUUUUUCUAAAUGAGGAUAUCGAGUUUCAGUAUCUAAUAAAGACUUGCUAACAUAAUAAAUUGGAGAUUUUUUACCUUGGUCCUCGCAAACUAAUACGACACUUACCGCUACUUUCGAAUCAGCAAGGCAGAUGAGUAGUUUUUUCCCCAUCCUUCAGUUUGGCUAGCAAUGGUGGAUUUGACUAGUAUGCUUUUAAAUUAUUAAGUGAUUUUUGACAUUCUUCAGACCAUUCAAAUUGAUUUUGCUUUUUUAAGGCUGAGAAUAACUUAAAGCAUUUUUCUGAUGACUUGGAAAUAAAUCUCCCCAACGCUGCAAUUCUUCCUGUCAGCCUCUGUACUUCUUUUUUGUUCGUAAGUAUAUCCAGUAUUUCUUCAAUAGCCUUAAUCUGUGUGGGAUUUACUUCAAUGUCAUGGUUAGAAACACAGAAUCCCAAGAACUUACCUGACGAUAUGCCAAAUGCACAUUUCUCAGGAUUUAACUUCAUGUUAAAUUUUACGAAGAAUCUCAAAUGUAUCUGACAGGUGUUGAAUAUGAUCCCCUGCUUGUUGUGAUUUGACUAGCAUAUCAUCUAUAUAAACCUCCAUGAUUUUUCCUAGAUGUUGUUGAAACAUCUUGGUCACUAGCCUUUAGUACGUGGCCCCAGCAUUCUUUAGGCCAAAUGGCAUAACUUUAUAGCAGUAAGUCCCCCUGUCUGUAAUAAAGGAAGUUUUUUCCUCAUCUAGAGGAUCCAUUUUGAUAUGAUUAUAUCCUAAAUAGGCAUCUAAAAAACUUAAUAACUCAUGUCCUGCAGUAGCAUCAAUUAGUUGAUCUAUGUGCGGUAAUGGAAAAGAAUCUUUAGGGCAAGCUUUAUUUAGAUCAGUAUAGUCUACACAAACUCGCCACUUACCAUUCUUUUUAGGCACUACUAUAGUAUUAGCUAACCAAUCUGGAUACUUUACCUCGCAGAUAGACCCGAUCUUUCAAAGCUUUUGUACCUCAUCCUGAAUCACCUGAUUCUUGAAGGAACCUUGCUUCCUCUUCUUUUAUUUGACAGGUGGGUAUGUUAGAUCUUCAUUUAGUUUAUGAUUCAUUAUCUCCGGCAGUAUUCCUGUCAUAUCUGAAUGCAACCAAGCAAAAUAAUCUGCGUUAGCUUUUAAAAAUUCAAUUAACUUAUUUUUCAUCUCCGGGCUGAGGUUGGUUCCAAUGUAGACUUUUUUGUCCGGCCAAUGUACAAAUAACACCACAGCUUCUAAUUCCUCGAUUUUUGUUUUGAUGUUAUCAAUUUCUUCUGGUUUUUGAAUAGUAUCUAGCCUCGAGUCUAGAUCUGUUUGUCGUCUACAGUUGAGGCUUGUGUUGCUGCAUCCUCAACUGAAUUCUGUAAUUGCUAUUUUUUUAUGCUUUUCGUGCUUGAGUCUAUCAAUGAAUUAAUGCUUUGAGAAGCCUGUUGGUCUCCACGAAUUUGUCGUAUUCCCUAUUGUGAAGGAACAUUAAUAACUUGAUGUAGGGUAGACGGAACAACAUCUAUUUCAUGGAUCCAUGGUCUGCCGAGAAUCAUAUUGUAAGUCAUAUCCAUUUCUAUCACUUGAAAUUUGGUGUCUUUGACUACUCCUACUGCAAAUGUGGCGAGUAUAUCUCACCUUUUGUUACAAUGCUCGAAUUGUCAAAAUCAAACAAGGUUCGUGCCUUAGGUAUCAACUUAUCAUUGGCUUGCAUCUCGUUUAUCACUCUUAACAAAAUGAUAUUCACAGAACUACCUGGAUCAAUCAAUAUUCGUUUCACAUUAGUGUCAUGUACAAGUAAAGAUAUUACCAGUACAUCAUUGUGUGGGGUCAAUACGCCAUCUGCAUCUGCAUCAUCAAAUGUUAUACCGUCUUCUUCCAAAACUUGACGAACUCGUUUCUCGUGGGUGACUGUGAUUUUUGACACCUUCUUUGUUGUUGUGUAUGUUACGCCAUUGAUCUCUUCCCCUCCACUUAUGACAUUAACCUUUCUUUUUGGUGAUGGGGGUUUCGGCUAUUCUUGCCUAUUCUUCAUAUAUGCUUGUUUUCCCUUUUCAAUAAAUAAUUUUGUUAAGUACCGUUGCUUUAAUAGAUGUUCUACUUCACCUUGUAUUAAUCUGCAAUCCGCUGUUUUGUGACCAUGAUCAUUGUGAAAUUCGCACCAAAAAUCGGGAUUUCUCCUGUUUGGGUUUGGUCUCAUUUCUUUUAGCCACUGUACCUUAUCUCCCAUGCUUCUUAAAACAGCCACCAACUCGGAUGUGCUAACAUUAAAACUGUAGCCACCAAUUUUUUCUUUUGAGCCUCUAUCAUCGUCUCGCACAUCUCACAUGUUUCGCUCCUUUUCGAACCUUGACGAUGAACCUAAUUCUCUUUCCCUUGACCUAGGAUCAUACCUUGGGUUUUCCUGUUUUGAACGUGAAUCCCUUUCUGCUGGCCCCAUAUAAGGUUCGUACCUAUUUUUACCGGACCUUUUUUAAGUUUCAGCCCAUCUUGAACUUACUCUUUCAUAUUUCGAGACUGAAUGAUAGUAUCUUCUUCUAUCCGCAGAUUUGUGAUGUAUCUAUUGUAAACAUCAUUCCAAGUUGUUGCAAGAAAUUCUCGUAAACUUUCUUUCAGUCUCCUUGUGCCUUUCGAGCUUUUUUUAUUCAGAUUACUAGCGAAAGCCAUAGCCGCCCAGUUAUCAAGUACACGUGGCAACAUCAUCCUUUCAUGUUGAAACCUAUCUACGAAUUCCUUGAGCAGCUCGGUAUCUCCUUGUCUUAUUUUUAAAAUGUCCUCCAUUCUUUUUUCAACUUUUUGAGCUCCCGAGUGUGCUUUUAUAAAUGAAUCUGCAAGCUCAGCAAAAGAAUCAAUAGAAUUUUCAGGUAAAAGAGAAUACCAAGUUAGUGCUCCCUUCGUGCGUGUUUCUCCACACCUUUUGACCAACACUGAUUCAAUUGUUUGCUUGGUCAAGUCAUUGCCCUUUACACCAGUUGUAAAUGCAGUUACGUGAUCCCGUGGAUCAGUUGUUCCAUCAUACUUCAGGAUAUCGGGCAUCUUGAAUUUCAUUGGAAUUGGUAAAGGAGCGGCACUUGGCUUCCAAGGUUAUUGAGAGUACUUUUUCAUAUCUAUCCCUUUGAUUAUAGGUGGUACUCCAGGUAUCUGCUCUAUGCGAUUUCUUUGCUCCUUGAGUUGUUUCUGCAAAGUUAGUAUUAAACUUUGUAAAUUAGAAUUAACUGGGUUACCUGACCCUCCAUCACGAGAUUCGCUGGGAGUUCCUCCACUGCCUGAGUUAACGAGUCCCGAGCGAGGAUUUUCUAUGGUUGUAGUGUUGUUUGGAGGUGGAGUUGGUGGUACAGCCGGCAACCUACUGAGAAAAGCUUGAAGGGCGUUUCUCAUUUAUAUUUGAUUCAGAUCCGUCAAGAGUCCUUUCUCGAGAUUGUCGAGGAGAGUUUUGUUGUGAGGGGGUGGAGUUCCAUCAACUUGUUGUUUCAACUGAUGUUGCUAAUUUUCUUGGUGAUGUAGAUUUUGUUGCCUAUUGUCAUUGGCAUUCGACAUGAUUGUUUUGACAGAAGAACUGAUUUAGAAGAUAAAAGAUUAUCAGAUUCCUGGUAAUGGAACCAAUUUGCUUAACCAGAAAAUAGGAAUUUCGGUCAAAGUUUGUUUUUAGAAGAACUCGGGUUACUGAUAAGCAAAUAAAGAAAUAAUUGUGUAACGAGAAAGGAAAUAUUAGACUGAAAAGAAGCCGAGUAAACAAUGUAAAGCAAUGUAAAUAAGAAUAUUCCAAUAAUAAUCAGUGUGUCCAUACAAAUGUUAUUUCUCUCCCUUUUAUAGUUAUUUCUAAGUGCAACGUUUCUUCUCUCUCGUAAUAGAGUCAUUAUAAGCAUUUAAUCACAUUAAUAAAAUAUUAUAAUUGGCAAUCAUAACUGUUUUAUGAAGAUUUUAUAACGUUUUCUCACAUUUAUGCUCAUUAAUUGAAGGUCUAACGAAUCUGUACUUUUUGCUGUCUUGGUUUAUUCUACCGGUAUCUCUUCAAAUUAUCAAGAGAUUCGAGUAACCGUUCCUUCUUAUCCUCUAGACACUUCGCUCGUACCUAUUAAGAAUCACGUCUUUUUAAGUACUCUUUGCCAGCUGCUACUCUUAUAAUAAUCCAUGUGUCUUGACAUGUCAGCACAUAAUUAAUUCCAAGUGUAAUAUUAAUUUUUCUCAAUACAAUAGAGAUUUCAGCUGUGUUUAGGACCAUUUUUAAACUCGUUCUGGAGUAUUUUGGGGUGACAUUUAGCUGUUUGAGUAACUGUCUUUCAGUUGGUGUUAAUGGGUUGAUUAGCAGCUUUUUUCAGCUACCUUUUCUGAAUAUUUCAUGGCAGUUUCAUGGUGGCAUUAAUGGAUGUUUAGGUGGAUUAAAGGUGAGCUUGGUGGAGAGUAAGAAGCGACUUUUAUGGCGAAAAUGCGAGCUAUGAAUGGCAACGAAAAAAUAAUGCUCUUUUUUAUUUUUUAUUCCAAAUUUUGUCUCCCCCUUAGGUGUUAUAUGAGUAAGGUAUAUAUUGAGAAUUGGUGGGCAAGAAAUCUGUGAGUGUGUAUGUGUAGGUAAUUUUUGAGUGAGAGCAUGUGAGUUUGUUUUAAAAAGGAAUCUUUGCCAAAUGGCAUUUUUUAAUUGGUUCUUUCUUCUUUGUUGAUUAUCUUUUCAAUAAAAAUAAAGUAUUACUCCUACUUGAUAAAUAUAGAAAGAUAAAGAUGCUAACUACUCAAAAUUCAUUUAUUAAAAUCAUUAACUUAAGAAUAGAGUAGACUCUUAAAUAUAUUUUUUGGAACUUUUCUUUCUUUUGAAAAUGGGAACACAAAUUAAAAUGAAAAAUUACAGCUAUUUUUGUUGUUUUCAAUUUAUCUAGUAAGGUAUAUUAAAAGGAAAAAUAAGAUCUAAAAUAUCAAUUAAACCUAAAAGCUAUUUGAAUGCUAAAGGUGGUGAAAAACUCAUGUAUGGUGAAAAUUAGAUGCUCACAGCAUGCUCCUCUUUGUUUGGAAACAUGAAGAGCUUUUAAGCAAAGAAAAGAUGAGCUAUAUGACUGAUUUUUGACCAUACCAUUAUUCAAAAGGGAAGAAAUAAGAGAAAGAAGAAAGAGUGCAACCGAGUCCUGAUUUUGGACAACCUACAUAUCCCGGGUUAUAAGGAAUCAGGUCAUGUGUAGUUCAAGGAGAAUGAUGGAAUGAUGAGUUGGAGAGUCGAGCGAGGUUCCAUCGAGGCUCCGUUCCGCGGUCUUAUUUAUUACAUCAGAAUAAAAAGGAAAUUACAUUAAAGGAUAAAAAAAAUACAAGAUCCUAUCUAUAAGUCUUCUGAAACUUGAUCUUGAAUCUUGACUGGUUCUUCAUGCAGACUCUAAUCUGAACCUGGAUGCUUGCUAGCUGCAGGUGCUAGUUCAUUUUUCUACGGCUUCUUCUGAUCAAAAUAGGGAAUGCAAUGCUCAUGACUUCUGUCGUGUCAUGAGCAGUCCAAAUCUUUUCAUCUACUUCUGCAUUUUGAAUUCACUUCUUUUUUUUUUCUUUUCUUUAUUUUAGAUUGAGACUUCUUAUUUUGGUCAUCUUGAAUCCUGUGCCUCGAGGCAAAAUCUACUUAGAGACCAAAAUAAACGAAUAAACGAGAUUUUUCUUCCCAGUUGUCACUAGGAAAAAUUCAUAAGUUAUUGUAACAAAAUUUUAAAAUGCUUUUCCUUUCUUUCUUUUUUUUUAUUUUUUUAUUUUAAAAAACAGUAAAGUGUCGGGAAUGGUGUACCCUAAAAAGACCAUGAUUUUUUUUUAUAUGGUAUUUUCUUAUUGUUAAAUGAUGCCUCAAUUAAAAAUGUGUGUACCUUAUGUUGGGAAAAAUGCUGUCGGGGAACAGUAUACCUUAUAUUGGAAAAGAUAUCAGGAAGUGGUGUACCCUGAACGUAAGAUCAAAUCAACUAGGGAAUGGUGUACAGUAUGUUGGAGAACACAAGUAGGGAGUGGUGUACCCUAUACCGGUGAAGAGAUUAGGGAAUGGUGUACCCUAUGUUGGUAAGGAGACUAGGGAGUGGUGUACCCUAUGUCUAAAAUAUCAUCAACCAGGGAGUGGUGUACCUUAUGUUAGAAAACGCAGCUAGGGAUUGGUGUACCCCAUACUAGUAAUGAAACUAGGGAUAGGUGUACCCUAUGUCUAGGAAUCAUCAACUAGGGAUUGGUGUACCCUAAGUUGGAAAAUGCAGCUAGGGAAUGGUGUGCUCUAUGCUAACAUGCGGUUGAGUUUUUUUUUAAAAUUAUCCUAGUAGAAAAUUUAUCAUACUGGUUUUUCUUAUCUUAGGAAAAAAAUUUAUUAGACUAAAACGUCUAUCCUAGGAGAAAGUUUAUCAGACUAGGGAUUCUUAUCUUAGGAGAAAGAUUCAUCAGACUAAAAUGUAUAUCUUAGGAGAAAAUUCAUCAGACUAGGGAUUCUUAUCUUAGGAGAAAGAUUCAUCAGACUAAGACUUUUAUCCUAGGAGAAAAUUCAUCAGACUAAGUUAUUUUAUCUUAGAAGAAAGAUUCAUCAGACUAAAUUUUCUUAUCUUAGGAGAAAAUUCACCUGACUAAAACUUUUAUCCUAGACGAAAUAUUCAUCAGACUAGGGUUUUUCAUCUUAGGAGAAAGUUUCUGUUACAUCUCGCGUUUUCGUACGUUAAAAUAUCAUCUUCAGUUAAUCGAUGUAGACUCGGGGAUGAGAUUAUCUUGAGGUUAUACACAUUUAUGCUAUUUAUAACAAGCGGUAAGUAAGUAUCGUGAAGGAUACAGGGUAAACGAAUCAAAGAAAAUGAGUCUCGUUGAAGGUUGUCGAUUUGGGAUAAAAUGCGAUCCGAGCUAUAAUACCCGAUAUUUAUGGACUAGUGCCAUACAAGGUACUACAUGACCAUAAUAAUAAGGUGUAUAAGGUAUGUUAAAAGUGAGUAGUAUUUUAAGUAAGUGGAGAUAAUUCUUAAUUAUAUGGGUAAUUGGUUAAUUAUUGGGCAAUAGGACAUUACCUAGUUAAUUAAUGAGUUGUGGGUGAUUAAUUAAAGAAUGUGGUUAGAGAUAAAACAUCCCCAUAUGGAAGCAAACUAAUCCAAGAAUUGUGACUAAUAAGUCACUAUGUUAUGUGGCAUGUUUAAGAAUGUGAGUCAUUUCCAUUUUAAUAAAGGAAAGACACAUAUAAUGUGUCAUAUCCAUUCUUAAGAAACAUAAUUCACAAAUCCAUUCUUAUAUGCAUUCAAACCUAAAUAUUUGUAUGUUACAAACAUAAGUCACAAACGUAAGUCACAUAAGCAAGAUAAGACUUCAACAAUUCAAAGCAACGUGAGAUCAUGCAAUUAUAAAGGAGUACGGUGCAAUCUUUAUCAAGAAUAUUAUAUAAAUUUUUCCUACUCCGGUCUUGCCGUCACGUGUUUUGUCGCGAUUGUCGUGUGUUAGAGGGAUUGUCCGGAGAAUAGGCUUAGGUAUGUUAAGGUUAUCCCUUCUUUCUUCGCAUGAUUUAUACGACACAAACGAGACGAGAAAUGCAUAACUUCCAUAAAUGACUCCAUUCGUAGAAAUGUUAGAUAUGUGUAGAUUCUUGUUUUCCCAUAAGUCUUAUUAUUCUAUCGUCUGUUCAUGGGUCUCAGAAAAUAUGUAAGUUGAUAAAGUCUAUUUCAUGGUAUUAAUUAGAGGCAUAAUGGUCUUAUGACACUCCGGAAGAUUUUAUUGACGUACUUCUCAUGCAUUGCAUUUAUUUACAUUGACCCAUGACCAGAUAGCAUUAUAUAUGCGUAUAUAUAUGCAUUGCAUUUAUAUNNNNNNNNNNNNNNNNNNNNNNNNNNNNNNNNNNNNNNNNNNNNNNNNNNNNNNNNNNNNNNNNNNNNNNNNNNNNNNNNNNNNNNNNNNNNNNNNNNNNNNNNNNNNNNNNNNNNNNNNNNNNNNNNNNNNNNNNNNNNNNNNNNNNNNNNNNNNNNNNNNNNNNNNNNNNNNNNNNNNNNNNNNNNNNNNNNNNNNNNNNNNNNNNNNNNNNNNNNNNNNNNNNNNNNNNNNNNNNNNNNNNNNNNNNNNNNNNNNNNNNNNNNNNNNNNNNNNNNNNNNNNNNNNNNNNNNNNNNNNNNNNNNNNNNNNNNNNNNNNNNNNNNNNNNNNNNNNNNNNNNNNNNNNNNNNNNNNNNNNNNNNNNNNNNNNNNNNNNNNNNNNNNNNNNNNNNNNNNNNNNNNNNNNNNNNNNNNNNNNNNNNNNNNNNNNNNNNNNNNNNNNNNNNNNNNNNNNNNNNNNNNNNNNNNNNNNNNNNNNNNNNNNNNNNNNNNNNNNNNNNNNNNNNNNNNNNNNNNNNNNNNNNNNNNNNNNNNNNNNNNNNNNNNNNNNNNNNNNNNNNNNNNNNNNNNNNNNNNNNNNNNNNNNNNNNNNNNNNNNNNNNNNNNNNNNNNCUUAUUAAUCGCUUUUAAUUAUUUUAGGAAGAUUCAACGUUAUUUAAAACAUGCCUUGAACCACGCCACAUGAAAUGCACCCGCGGUCCACGACAUAUUUUACUUAACGUUGUUGAAAUUGGGUCACAUGAAAUGCACACCCGAAUUUAAUAAAUAAAGAAAAUCAAUUUAAAUAGCGCGCCUAAAGCAACUAGUGCAUUUGAAUUAUUUUCCUACUUUGAGAUUAUUGUGAAACCAAGAGUUUGUGGAAAUUAUUGUUCGGAGAGAUGUGCACUUAUUAUUAAGCUAACAGGCCAAGAUAUGAAGGUGAUUGACAUUAUCCAAUACAAAAGAGAUGAACCAACUUGUGCUUAUUUUGUUUAAGGAAUUGGGUCAGGCAUGAUUCUAUUGGGCCAAAUUUCUUUAACUUCUCGUUUAAAAUUAUUUCCUGCAGGCCCCAUUACUAAACUAACUUAGGCCCAACAUCACUUGCUAUUCUUAAAUCCUAAGAAUUCAAUUCUAAUGAUGCCCACUACAGAAUAUCAAAGAGCUACUCUAAUGAGUAAACUUAUUGCAACAUGAUUUCAACCAAACAAUAUUCAAACAAUGAUCAAAAGGGCAAUUCUCAUCAAAUAAAACUUCUUCAAAGAAAAGAGAAAGAUUUAGAUUUUUACGACAAAGCACCAAUUUGUUAACAUGUUAACAAAAUAAGGAACAUCCAAAACUAUAUUUAACAUCAUCUCAUGAAAAAUAACACGAAUUCACUUGAGCAAAGCACAAAAUAAGAUCCAAAUGUUAGGAUUAGAAAAUGAACCUUUACAUUGGCCGAUCCAAAGUUUAAACUUUUGUGACACAAUAAUCUAGCCGAGGACAAGGACUACGACUGCAACCAAUGACGACGACAUCAAACGAAGCUAACGAACACAUUAAACCCAAAAGGAAACACGAACAAUCGAGCUAGCGAAGAACAGAGAAAUGGAUUGUAUCCGUUUGUGGUUCAGGUUGUCGCUAUUUUUGGUUGAUUCUCGUGGCUGAUUUCAGAGGUGUUUUGGAGUCAUUU